rnacentral:siRNA from 1 species
AUUGCGUUGCGUAGAUUUUGUAAC